UCAGGAUAGCUCAGUUGGUAGAGCAGAGGACUGAAAAUCCUCGUGUC
rnacentral:tRNA from 1 species